rnacentral:rRNA from 1 species
AGUGGAGGACGGGUGAGUAACACGUAAGAAUUUACCUUUAGGAGGGGGACAACAACUGGAAACGGUUGCUAAUACCCCAUAUGCUUUCGAGUGAAAUGGAUUUUCCGCCUAGAGAGAAGCUUGCGGCUGAUUAGCUUGUUGGUAAGGUAAUGGCUUACCAAGGCGACGAUCAGUAUCUGGUUUGAGAGGAUGAUCAGACACACUGGAACUGAGACACGGUCCAGACUCCUACGGGAGGCAGCAGUAGGGAAUUUUCCGCAAUGGGCGAAAGCCUGACGGAGCAAUACCACGUGAGGGAUGACUGCCUAUGGGUUGUAAACCUCUUUUUUCAGGGAGGAACAUAAUGACGUGUACCUGAAGAAUAAGCAUCGGCUAACUCCGUGCCAGCAGCCGCGGUAAGACGGAGGAUGCAAGUGUUAUCCGGAAUCACUGGGCGUAAAGCGUCUGUAGGUGGUCAAAUAAGUCAACUGUUAAAUCUUGAGGCUCAACCUCAAAACCGCAGUCGAAACUAUUAGACUAGAGUAUAGUAGGGGUAAAGGGAAUUUCCAGUGGAGCGGUGAAAUGCGUAGAGAUUGGAAAGAACACCAAUGGCGAAGGCACUUUACUGGGCUAUUACUAACACUCAGAGACGAAAGCUAGGGUAGCAAAUGGGAUUAGAUACCCCAGUAGUCCUAGCUGUAAACAAUGGAUACUAGAUGUUGAACAGAUCGAACUGUGCGGUAUCAAAGCUAACGCGUUAAGUAUCCCGCCU